rnacentral:rRNA from 1 species
AGUGAACGCUGGCGGUAGGCCUAACACAUGCAAGUCGAACGGCAGCACAGUAAGAGCUUGCUCUUACGGGUGGCGAGUGGCGGACGGGUGAUGAAUACAUCGGAAUCUACUUUUUCGUGGGUGAUAACGUAGGGAAACUUACGCUAAUACCGCAUACGACCUACGGGUGAAAGCAGGGGAUCUUCGGACCUUGCGCGGUUGAAUGAGCCGAUGUCGGAUUAGCUAGUUGGCGGGGUAAAGGCCCACCAAGGCGACGAUCCGUAGCUGGUCUGAGAGGAUGAUCAGCCACACUGGAACUGAGAAACGGUCCAGACUCCUACGGGAGGCAGCAGUGGGGAAUAUUGGACAAUGGGCGAAAGCCUGAUCCAGCAAUACCGCGUGGGUGAAGAAGGCCUUCGGGUUGUAAAGCCCUUUUGUUGGGAAAGAAAAGCAGCAGGUUAAUACCCCGCUGUUCUGACGGUACCCAAAGAAUAAGCACCGGCUAACUUCGUG